rnacentral:rRNA from 1 species
AUUGAACGCUGGCGGCAGGCCUAACACAUGCAAGUCGAGCGAGCGGCGGACGGGUGAGUAAUGUCUGGGAAACUGCCCGAUGGAGGGGGAUAACUAAUGGAAACGGUAGCUAAUACCGCAUACCAUCGGAUGUGCCCAGAUGGGAUUAGCUUGUAGGGGAGGUAAAGGCUCACCUAGGCGACGAUUCCUAGCUGGUCUGAGAGGAUGACCAGCCAAACUGGAACUGAGAUACGGUCCAGACUCCUACGGGAGGCAGCAGUGGGGAAUAUUGCACAAUGGGCGCAAGCCUGAUGCAGCCAUGCCGCGUGUAUGAAGAAGGCCUUCGGGUUGUAAAGUACUUUCAGCGGGGAGGCGUUACCCGCAGAAGAAGCACCCGCUAACUCCGUGCCAGCAGCCGCGGUAAUUC